AAGGAAGCGUGGAGUUCUGAGAAGAGAGAAUGCCGGAAUGAGUAGCGAGAAUGAUGUGAGAAUCAUCAUGGCCGAAUAUCCAAGGAUUCCAGGGUAAAGCUGAUCUGCCCUGGGUAAGUCGGGACCUAAGGCGAGGGAGAGAUCCGUAGUCGAUGGACAGCAGGUUCAUAUUCCUGCACCUGACAUGAUCAGAACUGUGGGGACACAGGAACAAAACCGGACCCGGGAGAGCAAAGACCGGGCGAAGCGAAGUUAGGAGUGCGGUAGGCAAAUCCGCCGCACAAUCCGAAAGCGUGAUAGGGAGCGAAAUAUAAGUAGCGAAGCCGGUGGAGGGACUGUCGAGAAAAGCCGCUAUUGUAUCAUGUCAGCCCGUACCGCAAACCGACACAGGUGGAUGAGGAGAGAAUCCUAAGGCCGGCGGGAGAAGCAUUGUUAAGGAACUCGGCAAAAUGACCCCGUAACUUCGGGAGAAGGGGUGCUGCAGAGAUGCAGCCGCAGAGAAAAGGCUCAAGCAACUGUUUAGCAAAAACACAGGUCUAUGCGAAACCGUAAGGUGAGGUAUAUGGGCUGACGCCUGCCCGGUGCUGGAAGGUUAAGAGGAGAGGUUAGCGCAAGCGAAGCUUUGAAUUUAAGCCCCAGUAAACGGCGGCCGUAACUAUAACGGUCCUAAGGUAGCGAAAUUCCUUGUCGGGUAAGUUCCGACCCGCACGAAAGGCGUAAUGAUUUGAGCGCUGUCUCAACAAUGCACCCGGUGAAAUUGAAGUACCAGUGAAGAUGCUGGUGACCUGCGCCAGGACGGAAAGACCCCAUGGAGCUUUACUCCAGCUUGAUACCGGGAUUCGGUGUUACUCGUACAGGAUAGGUGGGAGGCUAAGAAGGAAGGACGCCAGUCUUUCCGGAGCCGCUGUUGGGAUACCACCCCUGUGGCACUGGAUUUCUAACCUACAUCCGUAAUCCGGAUGGGGGACAAUGUCAGGUGGGGAGUUUGACUGGGGCGGUCGCCUCCGAAAGUGUAUCGGAGGCGCUCAAAGGUUCCCUCAGAAUGGUUGGAAACCAUUCGAAGAGCGCAAAGGCAGAAGGGAGCUUGACUGCGACACCGACGGGUGGAGCAGGUACGAAAGUAGGACUUAGUGAUCCGGUGGUAUAAAGUGGGAUUGCCAUCGCUCAACGGAUAAAAGCUACCCUGGGGAUAACAGGCUUAUCACUCCCAAGAGUUCACAUCGACGGAGUGGUUUGGCACCUCGAUGUCGGCUCAUCGCAUCCUGGGGCUGAAGUCGGUCCCAAGGGUUGGGCUGUUCGCCCAUUAAAGCGGUACGCGAGCUGGGUUCAGAACGUCGUGAGACAGUUCGGUCCCUAUCCGGCGCGGGCGUAAGAUAUCUGAGAGGAGCUGUCCUUAGUACGAGAGGACCGGGAUGGACUGACCACUGGUGCACCGGUUGGGGAGCAACCCCAUGGCCGGGUAGCCAAGUCGGGACGGGAUAAACGCUGAAGGCAUCUAAGCGUGAAGCCCCCCUCAAGAUGGGAUAUCUCAUGCGAAAGCGGUAAGACCCCUUGAAGACGACAAGGUAGAUAGGAGAGAGGUGUAAGCGUGGCGACACGUUCAGCUGACUCUUACUAAUCGGUCGAGGGUUUAACCAA
rnacentral:rRNA from 1 species